GAUGAACGCUGGCGGCGUGCCUAAUACAUGCAAGUCGAGCGAACGGACGAGAAGCUUGCUUUUCUGAUGUUAGCGGCGGACGGGUGAGUAACACGUGGAUAACCUACCUAUAAGACUGGGAUAACUUCGGGAAACCGGAGCUAAUACCGGAUAAUAUUUUGAACCGCAUGGUUCAAAAGUGAAAGACGGUCUUGCUGUCACUUAUAGAUGGAUCCGCGCUGCAUUAGCUAGUUGGUAAGGUAACGGCUUACCAAGGCAACGAUGCAUAGCCGACCUGAGAGGGUGAUCAGCCACACUGGAACUGAGACACGGUCCAGACUCCUACGGGAGGCAGCAGUAGGGAAUCUUCCACAAUAGGCGAAAGCCUGACGGAGCAACGCCGCGUGAGUGAUGAAGGUCUUCGGAUCGUAAAACUCUGUUAUUAGGGAAGAACAUAUGUGUAAGUAACUGUGCACAUCUUGACGGUACCUAAUCAGAGAGCCACGGCUAACUACGUG
rnacentral:rRNA from 1 species